AGGUGGACGCUGCCGGGACCCGGGGUCGGACCGCGCAGGGGAGGCGCAGGUGCGUGGUCCUGCCGCAGGUGCAGGGGACCUGGCUGGAAGGCGGGGGAGGGGCAUCUGGCCUGCAGGCUUGCCAGCCAGCCUGUCCCAGCUCUGCGUCUCUCCAGCUUCCUUCCUAAAUCACCACCACCACCUGCCCUAGGAGUGGAGCCCUUGGGUUGGAGCCAGCUGAUUGGAUGUGAGCUCUAAG
rnacentral:lncRNA from 1 species